rnacentral:lncRNA from 1 species
AUGCUCACAAACUCCCCGCGUGACGCAGUCCCCGGGCGGACCCUGGACAAGGAACAGAGAGAGCGGCGUCCUUCCUUCCCCACCCCACCCCCAGACUCGCGGCGGGCACAGAGUCCGAGGCCGAGGGACCGGGGCUUGGAGUCCGCCAAGAGUGAAACUUCCCUGGCGUCUGGGUUGGAGCAAUGUUGCGCUCCGCUCCGUCCCGCCCAGCGCCGGGCAUGCGCUGGCACAGCCGGCGGGCAGCUCCUGAGGGCUCCCACCCAACUCGCCCAUUUGCUCACAAGCUCACCUGCUCCGGCUGCUCCUGGCCGCCUCUUCCAAGACCACGCUGCUGUGGCUGUCGCGGCCGCCCGCGCUGCCAAGCCUGCUGCUGCUGCUGCUGCUGCUCUGGAAGGCAGGCAAGCAGGCUCUGGCUGCCGCCCUCCUGCUCCGUCGUCUUCCCGGGCGUUGGCCCCGGCCCCGGCUCCGGCUCCGGCCCCUCCAGCCCAGAGUCGGCUCCGUCCCCGUCCUCGUUCAGCUCCCCGUCCCCGCCCGCGCCGCGUAGCAGCUCCUCUGCGGAGCACAUCCCGCCCCCUCCCUGGAGCCAAGUCUGGCAGUCCAGUUGGGAAGGGAUCCGGGACGCACGCAUGGCCUCGCCCGCUUCCUAAGCUUCCUUCCCGGACCCCCGCGACUGUUGACAAGUCGUUGAGCCGGAGGGCGCCGGCGGCUCGGCUCGGGGCGGGGGGUGGAGGAGAGCCUUACGGAAUAGACGCUCCGCCCAGCCCCGCCCUGGCUGGCCGGCCCCCAGGGACAGAAGUGAGAGGCUCUGUCCCGCGCUCCUUCAGGCACUCACAAGCCCCGCCUCUGAAAUCGGAAGCACUGCCCCUGGGGCGGAGUCCCAAGGAAUUGAGGAAAGGAGGAGUCAUGGAGGCGGGAUUUAGGGUUACCCUAGCUCAGAUAAAAGCCAUUCCUGAGGCUGGCAGUGAGGCUCUUUCCACUUACCUUUCUAUUCCCUCUCACUUUCUUCUCUUUACCUCUUCAUGUCUUUCUUCCUUAUACCCCUUUCUAAUCUGUUCCUUCCAUUCUUUAUUCUGCUUUUCUCCUCCUUUCCCUCCACUGCUCCUCUUUUUUCUAUCCCCUUUCUCUUUCUGUUUCUCUCCUGUUUUUUGCAUCCCUGCUCUCUUUUUCUCUACCUCCCCGUUACUUCCCCUCUUAUUUUUAUUUUCACUUUUUAAAACUCAACAAAAUUUUUUCUCAUCUCUUUCACUCCUUCACUUUUCUUGUCUCCAAUUUAACCUUUUUUUACUCUCUUCCCCCUUUCUCUUCUUUCUGCUUUUGACUUUUUCCCUCACCCUUUUUUUCUCAUUUCCCUUCUUUUCCUCUCUCCCCUUUUUUCUCUUUCUUUUUCUUUCUUUCCCCAUUUCCUUUUCUUUCUGUAUCUUUCUAUCUGUUUCUCCUCUCCCCUCAUCCCUUCCCCCCAUAUCUACCCUUUUCCCUUUCCCAGAUUUUCUUCAUUUCUUUUCCUUUCUCCUUUUCCCUCUCUGGUCUCUCUAUCUCUGUUUCUGUCUUUCUAUCUCUUUUUCUAUACCUUUUUUUCUUUUUCCUUUUCUCCAGUUUUUCUCCAUUUGUCUUUCUUCCCUUUUCCGCUAUUCUCUUGGUUUUUUUUCUCUCUCUAUUACCCUCUUUUCCCCCAUUUUUCCCUAUUUCUCUUUCUGUCUCCUCCAGAAUUUCCCUUUUUGUAUUGGUUGCCCUUGUCCUCUUCCCUCCUCCCCCCAUCCAACACACAUUUCCCCUUUCUUUUUACUAACAUUUAACUUCACUGGAAUGCAGUUAGAAAAUUAG